GACGAACGCUGGCGGCGUGCCUAAUACAUGCAAGUAGAACGCUGAAGAGAGGAGCUUGCUCUUCUUGGAUGAGUUGCGAACGGGUGAGUAACGCGUAGGUAACCUGCCUUGUAGCGGGGGAUAACUAUUGGAAACGAUAGAUAAUACCGCAUAACAAUGGAUGACACAUGUCAUUUAUUUGAAAGGGGCAAUUGCUCCACUACAAGAUGGACCUGCGUUGUAUUAGCUAGUAGGUGAGGUAAUGGCUCACCUAGGCGACGAUACAUAGCCGACCUGAGAGGGUGAUCGGCCACACUGGGACUGAGACACGGCCCAGACUCCUACGGGAGGCAGCAGUAGGGAAUCUUCGGCAAUGGGGGCAACCCUGACCGAGCAACGCCGCGUGAGUGAAGAAGGUUUUCGGAUCGUAAAGCUCUGUUGUAAGUCAAGAACGGGUGUGAGAGUGGAAAGUUCACACUGUGACGGUAGCUUACCAGAAAGGGACGGCUAACUACGUG
rnacentral:rRNA from 1 species